rnacentral:rRNA from 1 species
UACGGAGGGGGCUAGCGUUGUUCGGAAUUACUGGGCGUAAAGCGCACGUAGGCGGACCAUCAAGUUGGGGGUGAAAUCCCGGGGCUCAACCCCGGAACUGCCUCCAAAACUGCUGGUCUGGAGGUCGAGAGAGGUGAGUGGAAUUCCGAGUGUAGAGGUGAAAUUCGUAGAUAUUCGGAGGAACACCAGUGGCGAAGGCGGCUCACUGGCUCGAUUCUGACGCUGAGGUGCGAAAGCGUGGGGAGCAAACAGG